rnacentral:misc_RNA from 1 species
GAUGAAGAACGUAGCGAAAUGCGAUAAGUAAUGUGAAUUGCAGAAUUCAGUGAAUCAUCGAAUCUUUGAACGCACAUUGCGCCCUUUGGUAUUCCGAAGGGCAUGCCUGUUCGAGCGUCAUUUCACCACUCAAGCCUGGCUUGGUAUUGGGCGCCGCAGUCGAUCCGCGCGCCUCAAAGUCUCCGGCUGAGCUGUCCGUCUCUAAGCGUUGUGAUUUCAUUAAUCGCUUCGGAGUGCGGGCGGCCGCGGCCGUUAAAUCUUUCACAAGGUUGACCUCGGAUCAGGUAGGGAUACCCGCUGAACUUAAGCAUAUCAAUAAGCGGAGGA